CUGUUCUACUAUUUAAAGUUUCUGUUUUGGUGAUUACAUGAAGGUAUCGGGUGUUCUUGGGCUUGAACCAGUACUUUGUUGCUUCAGAUGUUGGCCAUGGCAAGAUGCAGUGGUAUGCUUUCCAUGGGGAACCCCCUUCAAGUGACCCUUUCCCAGAAGGUAAGAAGAAGAGGCUUUUGGAUCUCUUUGGUAAUUGGUGCGAUGAAGUGAUUGCACUCAUAUCAGAAACGACAAAACAUAUGAACACUGAGUACUUAAGGAAACCUUGAAGAAGUGGCAGACUUAGAGGAAAGAUUACAUUUACAUGUCUAUACUUUUGUAGAUACAUUAACUAAUGUCCUAAGAACAUUGAUUAGCAUUGACUCUUGGAUACAAAUUAUAAACUUAUAUUAGUCU